rnacentral:rRNA from 1 species
GACAGAGGGUGCAAACGUUGUUCGGAAUUACUGGGCGUAAAGCGCGUGUAGGCGGCUUGGCAAGUCGGGUGUGAAAGCCCUGGGCUCAACCUAGGAAGUGCACUCGAAACUGCCUCGCUGGAGUGCCGGAGAGGAAAGCGGAAUUCUCGGUGUAGAGGUGAAAUUCGUAGAUAUCGAGAGGAACACCGGUGGCGAAGGCGGCUUUCUGGACGGUUACUGACGCUGAGACGCGAAAGCUAGGGGAGCAAACAGG